AAGCACUAUAACAAAAGGAGGCAACACCAUCGUUAACUUGAUCAUGCUUGGUAAUGUCAUUGUGUGACAUAAUAUUAUCAAGUCACCGCCACGACAUUCAUUUUUGUCCUUUGUUCUGUUAGGAUGAAGGUUUUGAAGAUGCAAAGCAGGUUAUAGCAGCUUUAAAAGAUAAAGGCAUAUCUGCAAUUGGAGCAGCAGGGUUUUGCUGGGGUGCAAAGGUGGUUGUUCAGCUAGCUAUGUCUGAGAAUAUUCAAGCUGCAGUGCCUAUUGCACCUGUCGUUUGUCUCUGUGGAUGAUUUUAAGGAGGUGGAGGCACCAAUAGCUAUUUUAGGAGCUGAGAUAGAUCACCUAUCUCCUCCUGAGCUUGUUAAGCAGUUUGAGGAGAUUUUAUCAUCAAAACCUGAG